rnacentral:rRNA from 1 species
AGCGAACGCUGGCGGCAGGCCUAACACAUGCAAGUCGAACGGAUCCUUCGGGAUUAGUGGCGGACGGGUGAGUAACACGUGGGAACGUGCCCUUUGGUUCGGAACAACUCAGGGAAACUUGAGCUAAUACCGGAUGUGCCCUUCGGGGGAAAGAUUUAUCGCCAUUGGAGCGGCCCGCGUCUGAUUAGCUAGUUGGUGAGGUAACGGCCCACCAAGGCGACGAUCAGUAGCUGGUCUGAGAGGAUGAUCAGCCACACUGGGACUGAGACACGGCCCAGACUCCUACGGGAGGCAGCAGUGGGGAAUCUUGCGCAAUGGGCGAAAGCCUGACGCAGCCAUGCCGCGUGAAUGAUGAAGGUCUUAGGAUUGUAAAAUUCUUUCAGCGGGGACGAUAAUGGCGGUACCCGCAGAAGAAGCUCCGGCUAACUUCGU